CACGGUGGCGUGAUUCUCUCCAAUGCUCCGCCUGGAAUGUGGCCGGAUUCACUGCCCCCCACCCCGCCCCGUACCCCGAGGCAUGCCCAGGAGUGACCAGCCUCUGUUCCAACUCAGAACCCCGUGCCUUCUGCCCGCAGGGAGCCUGGGGCUAGAAUCCUGGUGGAAUCCCAAGUGGCGAGGGGCCCCAAGAACUAGGCAAAGCAGGAAGACCCGGAGGAAGGGCCAUCUGGCCCUCGUCUUCACGUGCAGGGCGUGGACCCGUCUUGCAGGAGGAAGAAAGGGGCUCUGGAAUCAGAGCUUGGUUUAAGGUCCUCCUUUAUGAGGGAUCCCUCGUGCCCCCAGACUCAGGUGAGCCUCCAGGGCGGCAGAGGCUCAGCUCCGAGCAUCAGGGCGCCCCGACCAGGAAGGCCCCAGCAGGCCACUCCCACAAGACCCUGGGCCUUUGACUCCUCAGAAUGCCACCCAUCAGCCGGUAACCGUCCCCUGAAGCGAGGCCAUCCCACCCAGGGCCCCAGCUCAGCUGGAAUCUACCCAGCUGGCUGCUGGGAGCCUGCCCCACCCAGCCUGCCACUGCACCCACUCCUCAGGGAGGGGCCUGGUCACCAGUCCUGCCGUGUGUGCAGGACAUGUGGCCUCUCAGAAGAAGGGGGACCCGCUGCAGUGAAAAGCGCAUCCCACAGGAGACACACCUGGUGCCGCUACCUGCCUACUUUGCUUCUCUGUGCCUCCACUUGCACAUCAGUAAAUAGGAAGCAGCAGCCCCUUUGCAGGGCGACGUGAGGACUGAAGAAGCAUACAGAGCGGUUGGUCGGCUCCCAACAAAAAUGUCCUCCCCUCUCCAAGCAGUUUCCCCCUUGCCCUCAGAGCCCAAGAGCUGGGCCAGGCUCCCUGGGAGACUCCAAGGACUCAGACCAUGGAGAAUUCUUCCUUCUCAGACGGCAACUGGGACCAGUGUGAGGGCACAGGCCUUGCUGCUCCCUGGGCACUAACGCUGCACCCUCUCCCCACACCCCGGGGUCCUGCCUUGUUCAGACAAAGAGCACGUGUGCCCAGAACCCCGGCUGCCCGACUACAGCCUCAGCCCCCUCAAAGCUAUGUUCCAGCAGCUGUCACCGUGCUGCAACCUUCUGCCCUAACCAAGACCAUGGCCGUAUACUCCACCAGCAAAACCCAAACUCUCCCCACACACUGCGAGCGGAGCCGUCUGAACCAUUCAGCAACAUGACCGCCUCCUAAGAAGCCCCAGCCCUGGUCCGCACAGCCUCUGCAUGAGCGGGUCUCGCUGCCUGGGGUGCCCCAGCCCCAAUGCAGUGGAACAGGAGGAAGGUGAGACCCAGUUCACCACCGACUAGCCAAGAACCUUGGACAAGCUCCUUAACCCCUCUGUGCUCCAAGAUCAUGGUAACUACCUAUUUCAUGGGGUUGCUGGGAGGAGUAGAUGAGUCCAUUCCUGGAUAAAGAAGAUGUGGCACAUAGAUACAAUGGAAUAUUACUCAGCCAGAAAAAGGAACGAAACUGGGUCAUUUGUAGAGACGUGGAUGGACCCAGAGUCUGUCAUACAGAGUGGAGUAAGUCAGAAACAGAAAAACAAAUAUCGUAUAAUAACGCAUAUAUGUGGGCUCUAGAAAAAUGGUACAGAUGACUUAUUUGCAAAGCAGAAAUAGAGACACAGAUGUAGAGAACAAAUGUAUGGAUACCCAGGCGGUGGUGUGAAUUGGGAUUGACAUACAUACCCUACUACGUAUAAAAUAGAUAACUAAUGAGAACCUACUGUAUAGCACAGGGAACUCUACUCAAUGCUCUGUGGUGACCUAAAUGGGAAGGAAAUCCAAAAAAGGGGACAUAUGGAAAAAUAAAUGAGUCCAUUCCCAUAAAGGCUUAGAGCUGUGCCUGGCACCAAGCAUUC